CUGUUUGCUCAUGUAUUUCACCUGUGUUUGCUCAUUAUCUCUCAUGCUGCUCACCUGCUAUUCCUCUUUACAUAGGCCCUGAUUUGUUGUUGUCUCAUUGCUGGAUUGUAUGUUUCUGGUCAUGCCUCGCUUGCUCAAAUUCUUGCUUUGCCCUUGUUCCAUGUCUUAUGUUCCUCAGAUCUGCUCAGAGGCCUGUGAAAACUUGCACAAAGUUUCAGAAAGGAUUUUGAGACCAACAAAGAAGUUGAAGAAGCAGCUUCUGGUGGAGAAAGUGAGGAUCAGCUAUCCACAAGUGGAGGAGCUGGCAAAGCCCACAGGCAGGGAGUGAGAGAGAGCGGUACUGGAGAUGCUGGUGGUGAUGCUGGGAAAGACAGAAUCCGCUCACCACAUCAUGCAAGAUGGAGAACCGAAACAGAGGCUGAUAGUGUUCCUUCUCCACCACAGUUUGCUCCAGAACAUAGACCUGAUAAAAGAAGACCAUUGCCUGGAAGUGCAAGGGGUAGGAUGUGGGCCUAUGUCUGCAGCUGGACAGAAACUGCUACUGGUGGUACCACCAAAACUCAGAGGGAAAAAAAAAAAAAAACGCCUGUACAUAGUUUUCUCUUUUUGAAUGUGUCUUAACUUUCCAAACAGAGUGUAAAUGUUGCGUUUUAAAUAUUUUCAAUACUGUCUAAAUCUCUGAUUCAGAAG